CAGCAGCCUCGGGAAUACGUAGGGUGCAAGCGUUAAUCGGAAUUACUGGGCGUAAAGCGUGCGCAGGCGGUUAUAUAAGACAGAUGUGAAAUCCCCGGGCUCAACCUGGGAACUGCAUUUGUGACUGUAUAGCUAGAGUACGGCAGAGGGGGAUGGAAUUCCGCGUGUAGCAGUGAAAUGCGUAGAUAUGCGGAGGAACACCGAUGGCGAAGGCAAUCCCCUGGGCCUGUACUGACGCUCAUGCACGAAAGCGUGGGGAGCAAACAGGAUUAGAUACCCCCGUAGUCCCUGUCUCUUAUAC
rnacentral:rRNA from 1 species